AUUGAACGCUGGCGGCAUGCCUUACACAUGCAAGUCGAACGGUAACAGGUCUUCGGAUGCUGACGAGUGGCGAACGGGUGAGUAAUGCAUCGGAACGUGCCCAGUAGUGGGGGAUAGCCCGGCGAAAGCCGGAUUAAUACCGCAUACGACCUGAGGGUGAAAGGGGGGGAUCGCAAGACCUCUCGCUAUUGGAGCGGCCGAUGUCAGAUUAGCUAGUUGGUGGGGUAAGGGCCUACCAAGGCAACGAUCUGUAGUUGGUCUGAGAGGAUGACCAGCCACACUGGGACUGAGACACGGCCCAGACCCCUACGGGAGGCAGCAGUGGGGAAUUUUGGACAAUGGGCGCAAGCCUGAUCCAGCCAUGCCGCGUGUCUGAAGAAGGCCUUCGGGUUGUAAAGGACUUUUGUCCGGGAGCAAAUACCCAGUGCUAAUAACGCUGGGGGCUGAGAGUACCGGAAGAAUAAGCACCGGCUAACUACGUGCCAGCCGCCGCCGUAAUAC
rnacentral:rRNA from 1 species